UAUGUGUGAGUUGUGGUUUUAGGGGUGCCGGUGUGGGUUGUGUAUGUGUGAGUUGUGGCAUUUGCGUACUGUGCAAGGAUUUGAUACUUCUAAUCAUUUGGGGUGGCUUAGUUUCACCUUCGUGGCCAAUAUUUUAAUAGGAAUUAGGAAUAUAAUAUAAUAUAAGCGGCGAGUUUAAAACGUUUUGAAGUAAGAAAAUUAUUGAAAAAUGUUUAGGAAAUUGAAGUGAACGAGGUUUAAUAUGUAAGAAUUUAAUUCGUAAUUUUAAAUUAUUUUGUAUUUAAAUCCCAUCAAUAGGUAGUUAUAUUUUUUCGGAUGGAUACAUUACUAAAUAUUCAUGCUGAGUUUCUCCCUCCCUUGAAUCUCAAACCAGAGGAAACAUAGAACAAUUAAUUAAUAGAUAAUCUUUAAUAAGUAACUCUUUGCUUAAGUCAGCAAUUAUAACUUGUAAUGACUUUAAUCAAUAACUGAAGUAUCUCCUUUAUAGUAAGGGGGAAAAAAUUGGCGGAUACCAUAUUAAUGCAAACUUUCCAAUGAGCAGAGUAGAUUAAAAUUCAUAUUAAGAUUAAAUUUGAUAUUUCAGUGACAUAAAUCCCGGAAAACCCAAAGUUUUGCUAUGACGGAAUCCGAUAAAAAGAAAAAUUUAUACUCGUAAUUAUACUUAAAUUAAAAUAUUAAUUUAAUAGAACUUUUAAAAUAUCCAAUUUCUCUGAAUAAUAUUCAUUUAUUCUCAUUUAGGGGGGAUUGGAGUGAGUGACGGCUUAUUGGGAAUCAAUAUCUCAAUGUAAUUAAAAGCUGCCAUUUUCUUUCAAAUUCCAAUUAGCUGUUUUUGCCAUCAAAAGCAGUAUUAGCUCCGUAUCUGAGGCUCAAUUAUUUGACAUUUCGUACUUGAAACGAACUUUUUCUCCCGGUUUUGGAAUUAAAAUCUCCAAUCUGCCUCGUUCUUUUUUGGCUUUCUGUACAUUAACUAUUCCUCUAGUUGAUGUAACAAUUUGGAAUCUCAUUAAAAAUACCUAGUUCAAUUCGGUGUCUAAUAUUUAUACAUCCUAAUGUGAUACAUAUAAUUUUUACUGAAUAAAGAAGACGAAUUCUUACUCUUCAGUUAUCUAGAAAUAACUUAGUUUGUUCUAUAUCGCAAUUCGGAAAUGGAAGUUUGAAUAGCUUCAUGUGAAGGAAUUGCAAUUGUCUUCGAAUCAAAAUGAAUGAAUUAAAGGCAGUAAUCGGUUAGAAUAAGGCUAGGAAAAACCUUUCAGAAAUAGAAUUGAAUUAAGCUACUAAGCAUUUGAGAUAAAAAAAAAAUCGUACUAAAUUAAGCUAUUUUGAACUUACUUGAAAUUAUUCAGAUAAAUUUCGUAUUGCAUUUUAUACUUAAGUAUAUAAAAAAAUUAUCUUCAUAACACUUAAAAAUAUGAAAUGAGUUAAGGCAAAGAUGUUUUUUCUGAAAUCAAAUUUGUUUAUUGUAAAGAAAAACAAAAGAGGAAUAAUCUCUGUAGUCCAUUCCCUUUUAAAAUUUAAAAAUUACUAACAGUUGCCCGCUCAAAUGUUUUUAUCUAUUGGAAACUUUCUAAAAUGCAUUAAAAUCUGCACAUUUAAUGUGGAAGAAAUAUUCAUAAUCUUUGAAUAUUCCACUCGAGUAGUUUCUAAGCGACGAAAAUGCUAUAAUCAUGUGGAUUUUACAUGGUACAGUCUAAUAUGACAGAGGAAACAGUGGCAGUUGCUCUCUUGUGCCCUCUUCUAUAAAUGAACAGAAUGUUUAAUGCAAAUUUGACAAGUCUUUUGUGUAAGACUAUCCAGUGGGAAACGUUUAAAUCAAAUAUCUGUAAUACUAGAAAGUUUCUGUUGAAUUCACUGGCCUUUUCACUCAUCAGUGAAAUACGUCAUAGAAGUCAUCAAUUUAACAAAAUCGCCUGCCGUUGUUGGAGCUGUUCACUGCAAAGAACACUUUUUAUGCUGUUCGCUUGAAACAGUGGCCAACUCCUGUAAGCAAAGCGACCGCCUUUUCUCUUGACGAAAAUAUGGAUGGCAGCUAUCUGGAUGGCCACGAAAUUUUUUCUUUCGUACAGAAGUAAUAUCGGCAUUGACAGACAGUACAACAUGGCCUAUAUCCAUGUCAUUUUGCUUGAUAAAGGCACUACGUCAACCACCAGUAGUGUUGCUUUCUGUUCCAUGCACUUGAUUGUCCACCCCAAAUAUGCUGGAUGCGAGGAAGUAUUCCUUACAGGUGAUGUUGAAGGUGAUGAGACAAUUCAAGGGCGCAGUAAGUUCGCUAUUUAUAUUAACAAAACGGCAUGGAAUUUGAAAACCAUUAAUUGGUUCAUCUAGAAAUUAAAUUACUGGAGGCUGCAAAGAGAUGCGAAACAUAAUUAUCUUAAAAUAUUUAUUGAAACAGAUGCAGCCCUAUUGGCUACUUACCAUAAUGAAUUACCGGAAUUCAAACGCCUGUCAUACGCGUUUCUGAGUAUAGGAUUCAAAGUAAUUGAACGUCUUAGAAUGGAAUCACCCAGUGACCCUCGUUAUGAGGGAAAUACUCCAUGGCCAGGAACCGUUUGAAACUAGAUUCCAGCAUCUACGCAGGACAAAAAUGCUUCUAGGUAAUUCUGUUGUCUCUGCAUGGCUUGUGGUAAACUUUCUAGAAUGACCAAAUUUAUUAAGUUAAAUGAAUGCCCUUUCAGUUCCAGCCAUAAAGUAUCUACAUAUCUAGAUACCUACUACACAUGUCCUGGAAAGAACGUCAUUGAAGUAAUAUCGGUAUUCUUCUGUCAGACAACUCAUGGCCGUUGAUGCUACUUUUCCGGUUAAAAAGUAUGUCAUCACCAUCGAUAAUACGCUUUUCAAGGUCCAAAAACGUCUUCACUAGAAAGCAGUUCUUUAUACGGGGAGGAUAUUCCCUUCAGAUGAGUUCGAAGUACAUGGAAUUCAAAGGCAUGAUCUAAUCUAUUCCGAUUCAGAUGUUGACUUGUUUUGUUCGAAGUGAUCCUGCCACAACAUGCAGUAUCUGAAGCUUCUAUCAAGUGCAAACUAGAAUUCGGAGCCACUACAGUUAAAAUGUUGAUUUCCGGACAAAUGUAGUUGGUUAGUAAAAUUAUAAAUGUUACACCAAAUCCAAAAUGUAUAUUUUCUAUCAAAAAUCAUCAGUUUGCAUAGUGGUGAAACUGUGAUUACUAAUGUAAUGGCAAAUUAUUUGAAAAUAUCAAUAUAUCUUUGAAGUAUUUCAUGAUCCCAUUUUAAGGCUAUGACAAUGAAUCUUACAUUUUUUGGGAUAUUUUUUUAAA